rnacentral:rRNA from 1 species
CACGUAGGGCGCGAGCGUUGUCCGGAAUUAUUGGGCGUAAAGCGCGCGCAGGCGGUCCCUUAAGUCUGAUGUGAAAGCCCACGGCUCAACCCUGGAAUGCCAGUGGAAACUGUCGAGCUAGAGUCCGGAAGAGGCGAGUGGAAUCCUGGUGUAGCGGUGAAAUGCGCAGAUAUCAGGAGGAACACCAAUGGCGAAGGCAGCUCGCUGGGACGGUACUGACGCUGAGACGCGAAAGCGUGGGGAGCAAACAGG